CCUACGGGUGGCAGCAGUGGGGAAUAUUGGACAAUGGGUGAAAGCCUGAUCCAGCCAUGCCGCGUGUGUGAAGAAGGCCUUCGGGUUGUAAAGCACUUUCAGUGGGGAAGAAAGCCUUGGGGCUAAUACCCUCGAGGAAGGACAUCACCCACAGAAGAAGCACCGGCUAACUCCGUGCCAGCAGCCGCGGUAAUACGGAGGGUGCGAGCGUUAAUCGGAAUUACUGGGCGUAAAGCGCGCGUAGGCGGUCUGAUAAGCCGGUUGUGAAAGCCCCGGGCUCAACCUGGGAACGGCAUCCGGAACUGUCAGGCUAGAGUGCAGGAGAGGAAGGUAGAAUUCCCGGUGUAGCGGUGAAAUGCGUAGAGAUCGGGAGGAAUACCAGUGGCGAAGGCGGCCUUCUGGACUGACACUGACGCUGAGGUGCGAAAGCGUGGGUAGCAAACAGGAUUAGAUACCCGAGUAGUC
rnacentral:rRNA from 1 species